rnacentral:misc_RNA from 1 species
CUACCCUCAAGCGCGGCUUGUGUGUUGGGCGCUGUCCCCCCGGGGACAGGCCUGAAAGGCAGUGGCGGCGUCGCGUCCGGUCCUCGAGCGUAUGGGGCUUUGUCACUCGCUCUGUGGGGUCCGGCCGACAGUCUGCCGACUCUCCAACCUUCUUUUUUCCA